UAUCAUAAAAGGAUCAAAAUUUCAUAUCAUAUGGUCUAUAAUGAGGUCUAGGUAUUAAUUUAGCUUAGAUUAUAAUGUUUAGUAGAUUAAGAUGCAUUGAGUAAUUAUAUGGUUCGUAGGAUAAACUAUGCAUUUGUUUAUGGUAAAAUAUAUUGAGCUAAUCUCAACUAUCACCGAUUUUGAUCGAACUACCUAACGUUUAAGGAUGAUAGGGUGAGAAUUGCCACUUAUGUUUUUGUAUUUCUGUAUUAUCAACUUGUGACCUAAUUGCAAUAAACUCUUGUUGUGGUGUCUAAUUUUUUGGAUCAUUUGAUGUCAUUAAUCAUUAAUUAUUUGUGCUUUUAGGUUGUUUCGAAGACAAAAGUCUUCCAUCCAAACAUCAAAUAAUAUUAGUUACUGGUUGUUGUUUAAUAGGGUUGUCAAAAUCUAGCAAUAGGUGAUGCUUGUCCGGAGAGCAAUAGAUAAGAAUUAACAUCUGUAAGGAAACUUCUCUGAAAGUUUUAUUUUUCACCUAUAAAACAAGUAGGUAGCAGUAUUAAAUAAAUGUCCUUUAAAUGAAUCUCAAUAGACUUCAGAGCUUUUGUCAUUUUGUUACUGUUACAAUAAAUACAUAAUGAACUAAAUUAGCUUGACCUAUGGGUCCCGAUCCCAUCAGAGUGACUUUCAAUAAACCUUAUUUUUUUUACUCGUUACUUUUAAUCUUACUACAAGAAUAAGACCUAGAAAAGAAGAUUGCAAAAAUAAUUUACUUAAGCUGUAUUAUGUGAAUGAGUAGAUGGCAGUUUCUCUUGAACAUCAAACUCAUCCCAAUGGAAAAAAUUGGGAGAAAAGAACAAAAAACAUAUUAAAGUAUAAUUAAUGAACUAAUUUGAUGAUAGAAUUAAUGGUAGAUAUGUUAGUUAGUAACAAGAAAUUAUCCCCAGGAGUCUUAUGUCGAUCUCUCAAUAAUGCUAUUUUUUCAACUGCAUACUCUGUAAAUUACAAGACUAUAAAAAGGCAUCUAUUAGCCUAUACCUGAUAGGGAAUGACCAUAAAUCUUAAGUAUUUUAUAUAUGAUCAAUAGUAAAUUGAUAAUGACAAUCAACUUUAUAGACUAUGAUGAUAGAUGGAUAUUCAUCUUAUUCCUUCUUGCACCAUUAGUUUCGAGAAUAAUUUUAGUAAAAUAAUGUGUUCUGACAAAAAAUAUUUACUUAAAACUAUUUAUAGAUGAAGAGCAACAGAUACAGGGUUUUGCUUGUUGAUUCCAUAGAGGAGGCGCCGGUUUUAUUCCUUCUUUAAUGGGGCUCAGUGAAAAUUGGUGGUGAAUUAUGAAGAUGAAUCAAGGAUUGUACCAGGAUCUAUGGUGAUCUCUUUGGAUCCAUUGUCGGAAUUGGAGCUUCCCACGAUCUAAGGUUUUUGGGGAUUUUUAUGGUCAGUUUGGUGCUUAAGUUGAUGAUUAGUUUGGUAAUUAUUUUAUCAUCUUUUUGUGUAGCAUUUGAGGGUUAAUUUGGCUUAUCAUAUCUCAUAUUCUAUCAUUAUUUAGUUAGAAUUUGAUGGUCCAUAUAAUGGUUAAAGUUGUUGCUGCUAUAUUCAACUCAUAUGACACUUACUUCAUUGAAUCUUAUUAUACAGUUGCCAGUUUAGUUUGCCAUCCUAGAUAUCCAUUUUUUGAGUUAGAUUGAUGACAAUGUGACAUGGUUAUUUUCAGAAUUACAAUUAGUUCAGUUUGAUAAUUAUAUUUGUUGAAUUUUGUUUUGCUCCCUUGCUUGUUCAUUUUGCUAUCAUAAACAUCAUUUUGGAAUUCAAUUGAUGAGCCAAUAUCCUGCCUAUAUGCUAAAAGCUACUAGUUUUGUUUGCCUUCUUGCAUGUCUAUUUUUGUGUUAGUUUGAUGAAUAUAUGUGCCGAUUGUUUGCUAUUCUUGUGUUGCUCUCUUGAUAUCUCACCUUGCAUAAUAGACAUCUCUAAUUUAGUUAGAUGGAUGAUUAUUUUAACCAAUUGUUUGUCUAAUCUUAACUAUGCUGUCCUUCUGUACGCCAUUCUAGAUAUUAGUUUUUAGUUUGUUUGUUUAGUAUGUAUGUCGGUUCUUUGCUAGUAUCUUAUUUCCUCUCUCUUCAUUUAGUUUACUAUGUUGGGCAUCUACUUUUGAGUUUUGAGUUAGUUUUCUAAACAUAUAUGUUGGUUCUUUGCUGAAAACUGCUUCAAUCUUGACACCUUUGUCCUCCUGCAUACACUAUGGUGGUAAGCCUAUAAAAAAGACCUUGUAAGAUUGGAAAGGGUGUCAAGAUCUCGGGCGAUCGCCACCGGAAAGAUCUCCGGCGAUUGAGGUGGACGAGCUCCGCAACACGAGCUUGGGGCUCCGCAUUAUAGCCUCCCCUCUAGGCCACAUCUUCGACCACCGACCUCGGCAUACGUUUCUUCAACAUCUCCCAGUCCAUCUGAAGAAGCUUAACAAGGACUUGUCCUACAAUCACAAACUUGGAGGUCCACUCACACCAGCACUUGGGAACUUGACAUAGCUAACUCACCUAAUCCUAUUUAAGUGUAGCUUCAACGGUACUAUCCCAGAUGAGCUAGGCAAUCUACGCCAACUCACCUUCUUGGUGCUGAACUCAAACAAGUUCAUAGGAAAGACACCUGCUACAUUGGGAAAGCUUUCGAACCUCUCUUGGCUAGACCUUGCUGAUAAUCAGUUGAAUGGAACUCUCCUGAUGUCAAUGAAUGCGUCUCCGGGCUGGGAUCAACUCCUCAAUGCACAACAUUUGUAAGGAUGAGUGGUGCAAUUUUUACGCAGUGUUAGUGUUAUUCGACAAUCCUUUAUUUUGGAUGUGGACCAUGUAAUCAAAUGUACUUAUUUUAGAUUGAAUCAUUUAGUUUGAAUUUGAAAACUCUUUGUUAUGUACUUAAAAAAUUGGAGAUAUUAGGAGGUAUUUUGUAUGACGAAUGUGAGAAUAUUAAUGUCUUUUCGUUAUUAGAACUUAAAAAUCUCGUCGAUUUGUUUUUAUCAUAAA